GACAGAGACAGAAAGAAAGAAAGUAGGUUUCAGAAUUGUUCCAUGUCUGGGACAUUGCAUCAAAAGAAGGAAAAUGGUUAAAAGCUAUUUCAGAGCACUCCUGGGGACAAGAGGAAAGUAAGAGACGUCCUGCUUCCUCUCUAGAUCCUACUGGAGAUAUCCUUAGCUCUGGUUAGGAUAUCUGGAUCUCUUUGGGACAUCAAGUUCUCUUCCCUCUCCGUCUAUUGUCUGUCCUUGGUGCACCAUAUGUCUAUCCAUAUGUCUGUCAAUUUAUGUUUGUUUGAAUGACAGUUGCUCUGUGUUUCAUGUUAAAAAAAAUGGUUAAAACUUUAUCUGCUGGCUGUCUACCGCUUGAUUUAGUUUAACUUGUUUAAAAGGCACUCUGAAUUUUUACAAGAGAAACUGAUAGGUUACCCUGCAUUAUGGCUGGAAGUCAAGUGCAGCUGGAGAAGCCCUGCUUGGGGCUGAUCAUCUACACAAGCUGCUCUUAAAGGGGCCAACAGCUUUUCAACAUCUUUGGGUCCCCUGUCGAAAACCCCCGAGGGCUGGGGCACCUGCUCAUUGCCAGGACUUCCCACCAUGAUGAAUUCUACUGCCUUUGGAACCCUAAACACAAAUUAACUCUUCUUUAAGAUGCCUUCGCUCAUGGUAUUUUAUAACAGAAACAGAAAAGUAGCUAAAAUGACCUCUCUUUGGCUGUCAGACUCCAAGUUUCUGUUCCUGUUGCUGUGGCAAGAUAACCUGACAAAAACAGCUUAAGGGAGAAAAUUUUACCUUACCACUCAAGGUGUUCAAAUGAAACCAAGAAGUCAAUUUAAAGAGACAUCCAAAACUAUACAAAUCCCAAAUGGAAAGGAAGCUCGGGACAGUGGCCUACGCCCGAUACUCGUAGCGUGGCAGCGCAGGCGCUGUCAAAUGGAGGUCCCACCGAGAUCGGGAAAGAGAGGAGCACCUGAUGGGAUCGUUCCAAGGAAAGCUGGCCGGCAAAAGGAAGAGGAACGUAUUGGGGAAUAUAUGUUGCAAGAAACAAAGUAAAAGUGAGUACAGGAUGGCACCAUGGGGAUAAUAAGUUCCACCUUAAAAUUGGUGGAUCAACUGGGGGUUCUGCUUAGGUAACAGGUAUUGGAUUCAAGGUUAAAACAGCUAGGGUGUGACAACAAAUUGGGAUGGUGAAUUUUAUUAGGCAAAUUGUCAGCAGUAUAAAACUGCAUCAGGCAAGAGGAAUGUGGCAUAAAAUAAAAUAAAAAGAGUAAAAGACAAAAAACAGAUUUUAGAAACAUGGAAGAGAAAGAGAAAGAGAGAAGGAAAAUGGAUUCAAAAUUCUCUUAGGGACAAGGGGAAACAUGGAGACGUCCUGUUUCCUCUAUUGACCCUACUGGAGAUAUUAUUAGUACUGGUUACAAGUGCUCUUUCCUCUCUAUGUAUUGUUUUUGGUGCACCAAUUUGUUCACAUGUGUCUGUCCUUGUUUCAUUGUUUGAAUGAUUGUCCUAUGUUUCAUGUUGAAAAGAAAAAAUGGUAAAAACUUUAUUUCAUGUUGAAAAGAAAAAUUGGUAAAAACUUUAUCUACUGGAUGUCCAUCUCUUGAUCCAGUCUCAGGUUACACAGCAAAGGCUGAUUUAAGCUGCCCUGCAUUUAGCUAGGAGUCAAGCACAGCUAGAGAAAAGCUGCUUUUAAAAGGGCCAGCAGCUUCUCAAGUUCUAGGGCAAGUAGGCUGAUAGUUAUUUCUCCUAUUGGGUACAAAGUGCUUUUUCUCUUGAAAUUGCAGCUAGAAAAAAAAAGUUUGGUUUAAAUUUAUAAGAUUCAUGUAGUUGCUUCAUUUUUGUUUCUGAUUGGUCUUAAAGGUAUAAGUACAGUGGCCCCUUUCUAAGGAGAAAAUGGAGGCAGCUCAUCACCUAGUACAAGAACAACUUCAGGCAGGACAAUAUUACCUUAAAUCUUACAUUAGAGAAUAUUUUAUGCUAGAUAGAACUUCAUUUCUUGACUCCUGUCUUGUGCUUUGCAAUGAUUCCUUGAAUACUAAACCAUGUGUUUUAGUCCCAUCUUCUAUAGUUUGAAAAGUCUCAUGAACAGGAAGAAGACAAGAAGAAAUUGUUCUAGUGGAUUGUGUGUAUUGACAAACUACUGCGAAUAUGAAGAUAUUGCUGUAGUUGAAGAGUUCCUGGAAUUGUGUCUAUUCCUCUAAAUGAUGAAGGGAGAUUCCUUGUCACCUUGUAUUACCAUCAGAGAGACUUUGGCAUUAUUGCCACCCCUGAUUUAAAAAGGUCUGGUUCUAUGGCACUGGGGUUUUUGGCUUGUGAAGCUGCCACAUUGGGAUUGUUCCUGCUAAACUGUAUGUGCAAACAACAAAACCAGUCCAGAGCAAUAAUUGAACAAGUGCUUAGGCACAGGAUAAUACAUCUGCUCAAAUUUGGCUCAGCUUGUAACGAGAAUAGUUAGUCUAUGACGGGCAACUCCUUUGCAGUCCACACCAACCUAAGACAGGGGCUCUGGGACUGGCAGAGAUUCCCAGAGAUGGGUAAUGGGAGUUGGACCGAAGGUGUCCUAAGACAGAUACUAUUCAUUCUUUAAAAAAAUAAAAAAGGGGGAGUUGUUGAGAACCAGAGAGCUUGGCUCAACAUCCCCUGCUGAGCUUUUUUUGCACAAGUUUCUUGAGAGCAAAACAUCCCAUGGCUUAGCUUGAUUCUUGCCUUCCUGCCCAGGGUGGUAUGGACUUCCCAGGUGCCUGACCUAUGACUAUAAUUGUUUUCUCCUGUUCCUUCCCUGGCCUCUAGUAUAUAUAUUGCUAGUCUCUCAGUAAAGCUUUGGCAUUCUCCUUGCAGAAUGACCCGUGUCUGUUUUUUGUCAAUUCCCCAGGCCUACGCCCGAUACUCAGUACCAUGGCAGCGCGGGUGCUGUCAUUUGAGUUCUUUUCCUGACUUUGAUGAUGAACAGUUCUGUGGAAGUAUAAUCUAAAUAAACCCUUUCCUCCCCAAUUUGCUUUUUCAUCAUAAUAUUUCAUUGUAGCAAUAGAAACUCUAAGUUAGAACGAGAAUUGUGGGUUAUUUUGGUAGCAGACCUGACCAUGUUGUUUUGGGGAGUUUUGAGGAAGGACUCCAGAACUUUAGGCAAGAAAAGAUUUCAACUGUUCAAUGCCUUUGAGCUGUUCUGUAGGAGUUGGGAAGACAUGAAUGUUGAGGGCAAUGCAGAUGAUGGAGGCCUGGCUUGUCAAGUUUCAGAAGAAAGUUUAAAGACUCUAUCAGGGCCACUUGUUACUUUAAAAAGAUCCAUUGGUUCUUUUUAGCUGGGACUGAAAAAUCAACUGUGAGUAACAAAAACACCAGAACUACUAAAGUGGAAUCUUUGCUUUGAUGGGAUACUUGAUGCUGGUGGACUAGAGCUAAGAAAUAAGCAGUGAUUCAGAAGAGACCAGCAUUACUGAGGUGAAAUCUUCUGGGAAGUAGUUCCCAAGAGCACUCUGGAGCGGUGUUCCAGGGGUGGCCUCACAAGAGCACACUGAGGCUGUGUUCCAGAGGCAGCCCUGCACUGGCAACCAAACUUGGUACUGUAAGAGUCACCCAGUUUGAAGUCACCACCAGUGGGCUUGAAGGCAUGAAGGCAUGAAAACCAGCUGAGGUUUGGCACUGUGAGAAGCCAGGAGACCACUGGGGAAGAUGCAACCUCAGUGGCUGUAGAAGGCUCUGGACUAAAGGAGUCAUGCCCAGAAGUUGAAGCUCAGCACCAUGAAGGAGCCCAGGAAAUGCUACUGAUGGAAGUGCAGCUCAAUUGCAGCAGAAAAGCCCAUUGUGGAGAUGCUAGUAACCAUGGGAUGCACACCAGUAAGAGCAACAACUGAGGAAUGGAGACAGCUAGAGCUUAGAAGAAAGGCUGUGUGUGUGGUAAAGAGUGGAGUCAGAGAAGUGACCUAAGCCCCUUGGAGGAGCCCAGAAGACUGUGAGAAAAUCCCAGAGAUUGGAAGCAGAGUUACUUAUAUUUUUGGGGUUUAAUUGUACUUUUAUUAGAUUGUGACUGCACCUUUUUUCUUCCCUCUUGAAAUAAGAAACUUAUUUUUUAUUUUAUAGGACCCCAUAGUUGAGAGAC